rnacentral:rRNA from 1 species
ACUCCUACGGGAGGCAGCAGUAGGGAAUCUUCCACAAUGGGCGCAAGCCUGAUGGAGCAACACCGCGUGAGUGAAGAAGGGUUUCGGCUCGUAAAGCUCUGUUGUUAAAGAAGAACACGUAUGAGAGUAACUGUUCAUACGUUGACGGUAUUUAACCAGAAAGUCACGGCUAAUUACGUGCCAGCAGCCGCGGUAAUACGUAGGUGGCAAGCGUUAUCCGGAUUUAUUGGGCGUAAAGAGAGUGCAGGCGGUUUUCUAAGUCUGAUGUGAAAGCCUUCGGCUUAACCGGAGAAGUGCAUCGGAAACUGGAUAACUUGAGUGCAGAAGAGGGUAGUGGAACUCCAUGUGUAGCGGUGGAAUGCGUAGAUAUAUGGAAGAACACCAGUGGCGAAGGCGGCUACCUGGUCUGCAACUGACGCUGAGACUCGAAAGCAUGGGUAGCGAACAGGAUUAGAUACCCCGUGGUAGGAUAGCG